UAGAAACAUUGGACUAAUCUUGCAAAAGUUACCUUAUGCGAGGUCAUCGCCUACAACCGUUCGAAGAGCGGGAGAAGUAUCUAAAAUGUCUAUGAAUGUCUUCACUCUGAGAGACAUUUCUGCAACCCCCCCAGAUGUGGAAAUGGCUUUAUUGGAUCUUGAGAAGAAGCUCUGCAAGCAUUUCCAGCAUAUGGAAAUAAAGGGCAAAUGUGAACGCAAGGUUCCAAUUCUUCUUACCCUUGAUAUGGUGGAGUCUAUGGAGCUGCUUGUUCAGACCCGUCGUCAAUGUGGUGUGUUGGACGAGAAUGCAUACAUGCUCAGCCGACCUGAUGCACUCAGUUACUACAGAGGUUCUGAUGUCAUUCGCCUGAUGGCACAGAGCUGUGAGGCCAGUCAUCCAGGAGUGUUGUCGACAACAAAGCUGAGAAAGCACAUGGCCACAAUGUCAAAAGUACUCAUUCUCAGAGAUAAUGAGAUGGAUAACCUUGCGGAUUUUCUUGGACAUGACAUCAGAGUACAUCGCCAGUAUUACAGACUGCCAGAAGGAACCCUGCAACUGGCGAAGAUAAGCAAGGUUUUAAUGGCACUGGAACGGGGACAGCUUUCAAGUUUCAAGGGACAAAAUCUAGAUGAGAUCAACAUCGACCCUGAAGAAAAAAUGUCUGACUCAGAAGAUGAGCAAGAUCUGCUGACGGAGGAUCCAGCCGCUUCAGCCUUACCAUCGUAUCUAUAAGAUACUGAAGAGCCUGAAACCGCAGAGGAUUUUGCUCCUGAGCUUUUGCCUCGUCCUUCAUCCAUUCAGCCAUCAGGGGUGACCAAGAAAGGGACAGCUGGUGGUGAACAGAAAAAGCAGUGCAUCAUCAAAGAAACAGCAGCUGUAAAGUCCACAGAUACUGAAGAGCCUGGUGAAACAGCAGAGGAUUCUGCUCCUCAGCCUCAGCCUACUCAGUCAUCAGGUAUGUUAAGGUAAUGGAGAUAAUAACUGUAUACUGAUUUAGAAAUCUUGUUUAAAGUGCCUGUUUAAAAAACAAAACAUUAGAAGUGUUUUGCAAAGUAACAGGUUUUCUACCUCUUAGGUCACACAUAUAAAAUAGUAUGUCAUCCAUGCUUUCGUUCUUUUUUAAACACAGAAACAGUUUUGUUUACCUGUUUGUAGCUACAAACAGGUAAACAAAACUGUUUCUGUGUUUAAAAAAGAACGAAAGCAUGGAUUUACAAAGACACAGCAAGAACACACCUAAGUAUGUCAUCCAGUUCUUUUGCCCAAAUGCUUGACCAUAAUGUGCAAUCCAAUUCAAGAAAAAUUCUCUAAAGAGUAGAGUAUUUCUGUUUUUAUCCCAAAUUUAGAAUAACUUUGGUCGUUUUGUAUAUACUAUGCAUUAAUUAUAAGACUAUGCAUGCUUUGAAAUACCGUCUUGAAAUAUAACUAUUGUGAUCAAUCAGGGGUGACCAAGAAAGGGAGAGCUGGUGGCGGUGGACAAAAAAGCAUCACAUCAUCAAAGGUACAAUUUAUUUUUCAGAGACAGACAUUUACACUGACCAAAAAAGUAAAGGUAAAACAUAAAUAGGCCCUUAUAUGUCUGAAUGAAUUAUUAAAUUCUUUGUCUGUUAACCCUCUGGGGUCCAUGGACGUGUAUACACGUCUUUUGAACAGGUCUGAUUUGGGACAUUGUAGCAGCAAGACUCCACCUCCCUGAGUUUGGGUUUCAAUAUAGCUUUAAAAAGGAGAUUAUAAACUACACCCCAGUUUUUAAAUUUUGUUAAUAGGCAAUGUAAAAGCGGAGUUAUGCUAAACUAAAAAACAACCUAUUUUUAGACAAUCUGAUAACUUGUCAAAACAGCAGUUUAGUAAUCCGUGAGAGGGAAUGUGCUUGUGAACAUAAAAACCCACAAAAACAUGAGAUCCUUUUGCUGUUGGUGGAAGUCUCACAUAUUCAAUUGAUAAAAAAUAUCAUUAUGUAGCUGAGAGAGAGGAAGGCUGCACACGUACCGAGAUGUGUGCAAAAAGGAGCCGCUUUGCGGGGAAAGGAGUGGCGCGAACGGAGUAACAACAAACAAUUAGACAGAUAUUGACGGUAAACUUCAUAUUUUGGAGCGAUCCGGACAGAUAUAUUGUCUCUGCAGUUUAGUAGGCUUUUAUUAGGCUUAUAUAAAGGAUGAUGAGAAGGAUAAAUGUCCACCAGGCAGUUCAAAUAGUACAGCUGUUCGGACCUCCGCUGCUUCAAUUGCGUAUUAAAGAAGAGAAACAUUGAAUAAAUAAACAUUUAUUCAUAUUAGGGAUAAUCAACACAGUGCUAACACACUUAUAUUUUAAACUUACACCAGAGAUGAUAAAAGCCCUGAGAGAAACAAUUACAAAAAUCAGUUUUUCUCGUUUUUCAAGUAACUUAACAUAAAUUAAAAUCGUAAACAUAUUUAAAGUGCAAACAUGUCAAUUGCAAACGUAUUGUGCAAACAUGAACUUGUUCAAAAUACUAUGUAGCUCCCAGUUGCUCAUGUAGUGGAUAGUUAAGCUCAAAUACGGCUCUGAUGUGCAGCUGGACCAGAGAUCGCUUGUGGUAGCAAAUAACUGCGCAUUCUGAAUAUUUUCUGCAACAAGUCUCUAAAUAAAGUAAAAUUUUCCAGUGCAGAGUGGAGACAACCCAUAGAAGCACUGAUUUGAUCUCAUUUCAGAGAAAAAUAGAACAGGUUAGAUGCACCUAAUAAAUAAAAUUACUAACAAACUCAGGAAUCUUUCUUUGCUUCCCUGUUCUGGUGCUGAAAACAUCACUAAUGCAGAUAAAAGGAGAUACACAGAUGGAUUAUUUGGAGAUUUAUUAUUUGGAGACUACAUUUACUGCAGCUGGCAGAGGCAGAGAUUGUUUCUAUUGAUACACGGAUUUACAGAAUCAUUUUAAAUGUUAAUAGGGGAAGACUGCAGGAGGGAGCAGUAAAAUACAGGGGGUCCCAGCAAAAACAAGAAACUUUACGAGUCUGAUGAAACCUGCUGGGUUUCCAUCAGGCAGUCACGGGGCAGCUCCAACGACCCAGUGGCCGAGCUCAGUCCGGCUUGGCAGAGGGUGAACGAGCCGAGGCGACGUCGUGCUCUGCUUAAGAAGCGGUGUUAUUUUCCUGCUUCAGAAGAAGCGUCCAACGUGUUUUUACGCUUUCUCCGAGACAUGUCACGUCGCUAAGUUGUUAGCGCCGCGCGCUAAGGAAA